rnacentral:rRNA from 1 species
UACGAGGGGGGCUAGCGUUGCUCGGAAUUACUGGGCGUAAAGGGCGCGUAGGCGGACAGUUUAGUCAGAGGUGAAAGCCCAGGGCUCAACCUUGGAAUUGCCUUUGAUACUGGCUGUCUUGAGUACGGGAGAGGUGAGUGGAACUCCGAGUGUAGAGGUGAAAUUCGUAGAUAUUCGGAAGAACACCAGUGGCGAAGGCGACUCACUGGCCCGUUACUGACGCUGAGGCGCGAAAGCGUGGGGAGCAAACAGG